rnacentral:rRNA from 1 species
UCGGGAAUUUUGGGCAAUGGGCGAAAGCCUGACCCAGCAACGCCGCGUGAGGGAUGGAGUAUUUCGGUAUGUAAACCUCGAAAGAAUGGGAAGAAUAAAUGACGGUACCAUUUAUAAGCUCCGGCUAACUACGUGCCAGCAGCCGCGGUAAUACGUAGGGAGCAAGCGUUGUUCGGAUUUACUGGGCGUAAAGGGCGCGUAGGCGGCGCGGUAAGUCACUUGUGAAAUCUCUGGGCUUAACUCAGAACGGCCAAGUGAUACUGCUGUGCUAGAGUGCGGAAGAGGCAACCGGAAUUCUUGGUGUAGCGUGGAAAUGCGUAGAUAUCAAGAGGAACACCUGAGGCGAAGGCGGGUUGCUGGGCCGACACUGACGCUGAUGCGCGAAAGCCAGGGGAGCAAACG